ACAUGCCUACAACAUAGCGUUAAGGCACUUGAUCCCCUUAGAAAUCUACAAUUAAGCACGCUCGAGCUAGAAUAAUACUGGGAUGGGUGAUCUCCUGGGAAGUCCUAGUGUUUUACAUGCC
rnacentral:rRNA from 1 species